GAAGCCAGACCGGAAGGACUGGUGGAGCGCUUAGAAGUGAGAAUGCCGGUAUGAGUAGCGAAAGAGGGGUGAGAAUCCCCUCCACCGAAUGCCUAAGGUUUCCUGAGGAAGGCUCGUCCGCUCAGGGUUAGUCGGGACCUAAGCCGAGGCCGAAAGGCGUAGGCGAUGGACAACAGGUUGAUAUUCCUGUACCACCUCCUCACCAUUUGAGCAAUGGGGGGACGCAGGAGGAUAGGGUAAGCGCGGUAUUGGAUAUCCGCGUCCAAGCAGUUAGGCUGGGAAAUAGGCAAAUCCGUUUCCCAUAAGGCUGAGCUGUGAUGGCGAGCGAAAUAUAGUAGCGAAGUUCCUGAUUCCACACUGCCAAGAAAAGCCUCUAGCGAGGUGAGAGGUGCCCGUACCGCAAACCGACACAGGUAGGCGAGGAGAGAAUCCUAAGGUGAUCGAGAGAACUCUCGUUAAGGAACUCGGCAAAAUGACCCCGUAACUUCGGGAGAAGGGGUGCUCUGUUAGGGUGCAAGCCCGAGAGAGCCGCAGUGAAUAGGCCCAGGCGACUGUUUAGCAAAAACACAGGUCUCUGCGAAGCCGUAAGGCGAAGUAUAGGGGCUGACGCCUGCCCGGUGCUGGAAGGUUAAGAGGAGCGCUUAGCGUAAGCGAAGGUGCGAAUUGAAGCCCCAGUAAACGGCGGCCGUAACUAUAACGGUCCUAAGGUAGCGAAAUUCCUUGUCGGGUAAGUUCCGACCCGCACGAAAGGCGCAACGAUCUGGGCACUGUCUCAACGAGAGACUCGGUGAAAUUAUAGUACCUGUGAAGAUGCAGGUUACCCGCGACAGGACGGAAAGACCCCGUGGAGCUUUACUGCAGCCUGAUAUUGAAUGUUGGUACAGCUUGUACAGGAUAGGUAGGAGCCUUGGAAACCGGAGCGCCAGCUUCGGUGGAGGCAUCGGUGGGAUACUACCCUGGCUGUAUUGACCUUCUAACCCGCCGCCCUUAUCGGGC
rnacentral:rRNA from 1 species